rnacentral:rRNA from 1 species
AUGAACGCUGGCGGCGUGCCUAAUCCCUGCAAGUCGAGCGAACGGACGAGAAGCUUGCUUCUCUGAUGUUAGCGGCGGACGGGUGAGUAACACGUGGAUAACCUACCUAUAAGACUGGGAUAACUUCGGGAAACCGGAGCUAAUACCGGAUGAUAUUUUGAACCGCAUGGUUCAAAAGUGAAAGACGGUCUUGCUGUCACUUAUAGAUGGAUCCGCGCUGCAUUAGCUAGUUGGUAAGGUAACGGCUUACCAAGGCAACGAUGCAUAGCCGACCUGAGAGGGUGAUCCGCCACCCCGGAACUGAGACACGGUCCAGACUCCUACGGGAGGCAGCAGUAGGGAAUCUUCCGCAAUGGGCGAAAGCCUGACGGAGCAACGCCGCGUGAGUGAUGAAGGUCUUCGGAUCGUAAAACUCUGUUAUUAGGGAAGAACAUAUGUGUAAGUAACUGUGCACAUCUUGACGGUACCUAAUCAGAAAGCCACGGCUAACUACGUG